CACGUAGGCACCAAGCGUUGUCCGGAUUUAUUGGGCGUAAAGAGCUCGUAGGCGGUUCGGUAAGUCGGGUGUGAAAACUUUGGGCUCAACCCAAAGCGUGCAUUCGAUACUGCCGUGACUAGAGUUCGGUAGGGGAGCGGGGAAUUCCUAGUGUAGCGGUGAAAUGCGCAGAUAUUAGGAGGAACACCGGUGGCGAAGGCGCCGCUCUGGGCCGAAACUGACGCUGAGGAGCGAAAGCGUGGGUAGCAGACAGG
rnacentral:rRNA from 1 species